AUCCGGAUAAUCAAGGCUGAGGUGUGAUGACGAGGCACUACGGUGCUGAAGUAACAAAUGCCCUGCUUCCAGGAAAAGCCUCUAAGCAUCAGGUAACAUCAAAUCGUACCCCAAACCGACACAGGUGGUCAGGUAGAGAAUACCAAGGCGCUUGAGAGAACUCGGGUGAAGGAACUAGGCAAAAUGGUGCCGUAACUUCGGGAGAAGGCACGCUGGUGUGUAGGUGAAGUCCCUGCGGAUGGAGCUGAGACCAGUCGAAGAUACCAGCUGGCUGCAACUGUUUAUUAAAAACACAGCACUGUGCAAACACGAAAGUGGACGUAUACGGUGUGACGCCUGCCCGGUGCCGGAAGGUUAAUUGAUGGGGUUAUCCGUAAGGAGAAGCUCUUGAUCGAAGCCCCGGUAAACGGCGGCCGUAACUAUAACGGUCCUAAGGUAGCGAAAUUCCUUGUCGGGUAAGUUCCGACCUGCACGAAUGGCGUAAUGAUGGCCAGGCUGUCUCCACCCGAGACUCAGUGAAAUUGAACUCGCUGUGAAGAUGCAGUGUACCCGCGGCAAGACGGAAAGACCCCGUGAACCUUUACUAUAGCUUGACACUGAACAUUGAGCCUUGAUGUGUAGGAUAGGUGGGAGGCUUUGAAGCGUGGACGCCAGUCUGCGUGGAGCCAACCUUGAAAUACCACCCUUUAAUGUUUGAUGUUCUAACGUUGGCCCCUGACCGGGGUUGCGGACAGUGUCUGGUGGGUAGUUUGACUGGGGCGGUCUCCUCCCAAAGCGUAACGGAGGAGCACGAAGGUUAGCUAAUCCUGGUCGGACAUCAGGAGGUUAGUGCAAUGGCAUAAGCUAGCUUGACUGCGAGCGUGACGGCGCGAGCAGGUGCGAAAGCAGGUCAUAGUGAUCCGGUGGUUCUGAAUGGAAGGGCCAUCGCUCAACGGAUAAAAGGUACUCCGGGGAUAACAGGCUGAUACCGCCCAAGAGUUCAUAUCGACGGCGGUGUUUGGCACCUCGAUGUCGGCUCAUCACAUCCUGGGGCUGAAGUAGGUCCCAAGGGUAUGGCUGUUCGCCAUUUAAAGUGGUACGCGAGCUGGGUUUAGAACGUCGUGAGACAGUUCGGUCCCUAUCUGCCGUGGGCGCUGGAGAAUUGAGGGGGGCUGCUCCUAGUACGAGAGGACCGGAGUGGACGCAUCACUGGUGUUCGGGUUGUCAUGCCAAUGGCACUGCCCGGUAGCUAAAUGCGGAAGAGAUAAGUGCUGAAAGCAUCUAAGCACGAAACUUGCCCCGAGAUGAGUUCUCCCUGAGACUUUAAGUCUCCUGAAGGAACGUUGAAGACGACGACGUUGAUAGGCCGGGUGUGUAAGCGCAGCGAUGCGUUGAGCUAACCGGUACUAAUGAACCGUGAGGCUUAACCUUACAACGCCGAAG
rnacentral:rRNA from 1 species